rnacentral:rRNA from 1 species
CCUACGGGCGGCUGCAGUGAGGAAUAUUGGUCAAUGGUCGCGAGACUGAACCAGCCAAGCAGCGUGAAGGAGGAAGGUACUGCGGAUCGUAAACCUCUUUUAUCAGGGAAUAAAGUCUGGCACGCGUCCCCUUUUGCGUGUACCUUAUGAAAAAGCAUCGGCUAACUCCGUGCCAGCAGCCGCGGUAAUACGGAGGAUGCGAGCGUUAUCCGGAUUUAUUGGGUGUAAAGGGUGCGCAGGUGGGUUGUUAAGUCAGUGGUGAAAGCUUGCGGCUCAACCGUAGGACUGCGGUUGAUACUGGCAGUCUUGAGUUGAAGAGAGGUAGGCGGAAUGCGCGGUGUAGCGGUGAAAUGCAUAGAUAUCGCGAAGAACUCCGAUUGCGAAGGCAGUAUGCCAA